rnacentral:rRNA from 1 species
GAUGAACGCUGGCGGCGUGCCUAAUACAUGCAAGUCGAGCGAACAGACGAGGAGCUUGCUCCUCUGACGUUAGCGGCGGACGGGUGAGUAACACGUGGAUAACCUACCUAUAAGACUGGGAUAACUUCGGGAAACCGGAGCUAAUACCGGAUAAUAUAUUGAACCGCAUGGUUCAAUAGUGAAAGACGGUUUUGCUGUCACUUAUAGAUGGAUCCGCGCCGCAUUAGCUAGUUGGUAAGGUAACGGCUUACCAAGGCAACGAUGCGUAGCCGACCUGAGAGGGUGAUCGGCCACACUGGAGCUGAGACGCGGUCCAGACUCCUACGGGAGGCAGCAGUAGGGAAUCGUCCGCAAUGGGCGAAAGCUUGACGGAGCAACGCCGCGUGAGUGAUGAAGGUCUUCGGAUCGUAAAACUCUGUUAUUAGGGAAGAACAAAUGUGUAAGUAACUAUGCACGUCUUGACGGUACCUAAUCAGAAAGCCACGGCUAACUACGUG